UGUGACUGUUUCAUGUAGUUUUUCUUCUCUUUGCAGAAUAACAUUCUUGAAAAAGCAGAAGCCAUCAUUGGUCCAUACUUGGAAUGCUGUGAAGUGAGCUGGUCAGUAAUGUAAUGUUCCUGGUAUGCAAGUUUGCUCCACAAAAUAAAGUGGUCCAGGAAAUAUAUGAAAAUGAGGAUGUUCAUGAUUCAAUAUCCUAAACUAAACCCUUCAGGAAGACGUUGCAAACACGUCUGGAGACUUUGAGAAGAUAUCUGGCAAGCCAACCUAUGGCCUGGUUUAAAGGGAGCACAUUCAAACUACAGCAGUUUAAUGAUACACCUGCUAUAACUUUUUGUUGUGAAAUCUUCCUGUGGAUUAUACAUGCAUUUAAUUCUCUGGAUUUGUUUGUAAUUAUAUAAAAAUGGAAAGAAGUCAUAAUUAUACUUGAUUAUUUUAUUGUAAUAUUGGACCUGUAAACUGAUUAUUUUCAAUCAAAAUUUCUUUCAUUUUGUUCUUACACAAACAAUUGAAUUGACAUUGAAUUAAACAACAUUAACAGCACGGAGAAGAAGAAAAAAACUAACUAUUUUGGCUAUUUUUUACAUUACAAACGCAACUGCAAUAGACUA